UACAGAGGGUGCAAGCGUUAAUCGGAGUUACUGGGCGUAAAGGGCGCGUAGGCGGUUAAUUAAGUGAGAUGUGAAAGCCCUGGGCUUAACCUAGGAACUGCAUCUUAUACUGAUUAGCUAGAGUAUUGUAGAGGGUAGUGGAAUUUCCGGUGUAGCGGUGAAAUGCGUAGAGAUCGGAAGGAACACCAGUGGCGAAGGCGGCUACCUGGACAAAUACUGACGCUGAGGCGCGAGAGCGUGGGGAGCAAACAGG
rnacentral:rRNA from 1 species